rnacentral:rRNA from 1 species
GACAGAGGUGCCGAGCGUUAGGCGGAAUCACUGGGCUUAAAGCGUGUGUAGGCGGGCGAUCAAGUGCCUUGUGAAAUCCCACGGCUCAACCGUGGAACCGCUGGGUAUACUGGUUGUCUUGAGCCGGCUAGGGGCGAGCGGAACAGACGGUGGAGCGGUGAAAUGCGUAGAUAUCGUCUGGAACGCCGAAGGUGAAAACAGCUCGCUGGGGCCGCGCUGACGCUGAGACACGAAAGCCAGGGGAGCGAACGGGG